rnacentral:rRNA from 1 species
UACGUAGGUGGCAAGCGUUGUUCGGAAUUACUGGGCGUAAAGGGCUCGUAGGUGGCCAACUAAGUCAGACGUGAAAUCCCUCGGCUUAACCGGGGAACUGCGUCUGAUACUGGAUGGCUUGAGUUCGGGAGAGGGAUGCGGAAUUCCAGGUGUAGCGGUGAAAUGCGUAGAUAUCUGGAGGAACACCGGUGGCGAAGGCGGCAUCCUGGACCAAUAUUGACGCUGAGGAGCGAAAGCCAGGGGAGCAAACGGG